rnacentral:rRNA from 1 species
GUGCCAGCCGCCGCGGUAAUACGAAAGGGGCUAGCGUUGUUCGGAAUUACUGGGCGUAAAGCGCACGUAGGCGGAUUGGAAAGUUGGGGGUGAAAUCCCGGGGCUCAACCUCGAAACUGCCUUCAAAACUCCCAGUCUGGAGUUCGAGAGAGGUGAGUGGAAUUCCGAGUGUAGAGGUGAAAUUCGUAGAUAUUCGGAGGAACAACAGUGGCGAAGGCGGCUCACUGGCUCGAUACUGACGCUGAGGUGCGAAAGUGUGGGGAGCAAACAGGAUUAGAUACCCUGGUAGUCCACACCGUAAACGAUGAAUGCCAGACGUCGGGUAGCAUGCUAUUCGGUGUCACACCUAACGGAUUAAGCAUUCCGCCUGGGGAGUACGGUCGCAAGAUUAAAACUUAAAUGAAUUGACGGGG